ACGGGGGGGGCAAGCGUUGUUCGGAAUUACUGGGCGUAAAGGGCUCGUAGGCGGCCAACUAAGUCGGACGUGAAAUCCCUCGGCUUAACCGGGGAACUGCGUCCGAUACUGGAUGGCUUGAGUUCGGGAGAGGGAUGCGGAAUUCCAGGUGUAGCGGUGAAAUGCGUAGAGAUCGGGAGGAACAUCUGUGGCGAAGGCGACUGCCUGGACCAGCACUGACACUGAGGCACGAAAGCGUGGGGAGCAAACAGGA
rnacentral:rRNA from 1 species